rnacentral:snoRNA from 14 species
CCCCUUCAAAAAGCACUUGCGUUGUCUGCUCGGUGGCUGGGUGAGUUGUCGAUGAAGGGAAUAUUAAGCUCAUCACUGUGGGUGAGACGGCAGCGACACAGUGGCUGACUGAUCUCAAUCAGUGAUGAGACAACU